UUUUGGGCAAUUAAUGAGGGAAUAACCCAUGUGGGGCCCACAUGUGACACAAGAAGGUAAAAAGUCUAGAUUUUCUUCCCUUCUACUUCUUCCCCACGUUCUUCUUUCCUCCCCCUCUCUUCUUCUUUGUGUGCAAGUCUAUCAAAAAUGGUACAAUGCUUGGUUGGAGGUAUGGCCACAAAAGAGUGUGUGUUCCUCUUUUAGUAUAAAUAAGAGCUCUUAGAAGCCAUUAAAGUCACCAAUUCACAGCCACUUCUCUCAAGUUCUCUCCCUCCUUAUUUCUCUCUAUUCCUAUUGAUUUCUUGAUCAUCACCCUUAACCACCACAACCCCGUCAUAAACCACCACCUCUUAUGCCGUUAAUACUGCCGCUGGGAUCAUUAGCCAGGCGUUCAGACAGAAGAUUAGCUAUGGAUUGCAGACGACCUAGCUAGCUUGUUUUUGAUAUCUGCUUACCUGUUUAAGGCAACUACUGUACUAUUAUUAUCUGUAUGAACCUUGUAUUCAAACUUAAUGAUGAAAUACAAAUGCAGUUUUGUUUA